rnacentral:rRNA from 1 species
UACAGAGGUCCCAAGCGUUGUUCGGAUUCACUGGGCGUAAAGGGUGCGUAGGUGGCAAGGUAAGUUCGAUGUGAAAUCUCCGGGCUCAACCCGGAAAAUGCAUUGAAUACUAUCUGGCUAGAGGGUUGGAGGGGGGACUGGAAUUCUCGGUGUAGCAGUGAAAUGCGUAGAUAUCGAGAGGAACACCAGUGGCGAAGGCGAGUCCCUGGACAAUCCCUGACACUGAGGCACGAAAGCUAGGGGAGCAAACAGG